AGAAUCAACGCUGGCGGCGUGCCUAACACAUGCAAGUCGCACGAGAAAGCGGGAGCAAUCCUGUGAGUAAAGUGGCGUACGGGUGAGUAACACGUGAAUCAUCUACCUUCGAGUGUGGAAUAACUGAGAGAAAUCUUAGCUAAUACCGCAUAAUACCUACGGGUCAAAGCAGCAAUGCGCUUGAAGAGGAGUUCGCGGCAGAUUAGUUAGUUGGCGGGGUAAUGGCCCACCAAGACGAUGAUCUGUAUCCGGCCUGAGAGGGCGCACGGACACACUGGAACUGAAACACGGUCCAGACUCCUACGGGAGGCAGCAGUGGGGAAUUUUGCGCAAUGGGGGAAACCCUGACGCAGCAACGCCGCGUGGAGGAUGAAAUCCCUUGGGAUGUAAACUCCUUUCGAUAGGGAAGAUUAUGACGGUACCUAUAGAAGAAGCCCGGCUAACUUCGUGCCAGCAGCCGCGGUA
rnacentral:rRNA from 1 species